AUUGAACGCUGGCGGCAUGCUUUACACAUGCAAGUCGAACGGCAGCGCGGGCUUCGGCCUGGCGGCGAGUGGCGAGCGGGUGAGUAAUGCAUCGGAACGUGCCCAGUAGUGGGGGAUAGCCCGGCGAAAGCCGGAUUAAUACCGCAUACGACCUGAGGGUGAAAGCGGGGGACCGAAAGGCCUCGCGCUAUUGGAGCGGCCGAUGUCGGAUUAGCUAGUUGGUGGGGUAAAGGCUUACCAAGGCGACGAUCCGUAGCUGGUCUGAGAGGACGACCAGCCACACUGGGACUGAGACACGGCCCAGACUCCUACGGGAGGCAGCAGUGGGGAAUUUUGGACAAUGGGGGCAACCCUGAUCCAGCUAUGCCGCGUGCGGGAAGAAGGCCUUCGGGUUGUAAACCGCUUUUGUUCGGGAAGAAAUCCUCUGGGCUAAUACCCCGGGGGGAUGACGGUACCGGAAGAAUAAGCACCGGCUAACUACGUG
rnacentral:rRNA from 1 species